rnacentral:rRNA from 2 species
AGGUGUGAUCAUACCAGCACUAAUGCACCGGAUCCCAUCGGAAUGCCACAGUUAAGCGUGCUUGGGCGAGAGUAGUACUAGGAUGGGUGACCUCUUGGGAAGUCCUCGUGUUGCAACUC